rnacentral:rRNA from 1 species
UACGAAGGGUGCAAGCGUUACUCGGAAUUACUGGGCGUAAAGCGUGCGUAGGUGGUUUGUUAAGUCUGAUGUGAAAGCCCCGGGCUCAACCUGGGAAUUGCAUUGGAUACUGGCGGGCUAGAGUGCGGUAGAGGGUAGUGGAAUUCCCGGUGUAGCAGUGAAAUGCGUAGAGAUCGGGAGGAACAUCUGUGGCGAAGGCGACUGCCUGGACCAGCACUGACACUGAGGCACGAAAGCGCGGGGAGCAAACAGG